GAUGAACGCUGGCGGCGUGCCUAAUACAUGCAAGUCGAGCGAACAGACGAGGAGCUUGCUCCUCUGACGUUAGCGGCGGACGGGCGAGUAACACGUGGAUAACCUACCUAUAAGACUGGGAUAACUUCGGGAAACCGGAGCUAAUACCGGAUAAUAUAUUGAACCGCAUGGUUCAAUAGUGAAAGACGGUUUUGCUGUCACUUAUAGAUGGAUCCGCGCCGCAUUAGCUAGUUGGUAAGGUAACGGCUUACCAAGGCGACGAUGCGUAGCCGACCUGAGAGGGUGAUCGGUCACACUGGAACUGAGACACGGUCCAGACUCCUACGGGAGGCAGCAGUAGGGAAUCUUCCGCAAUGGGCGAAAGCCUGACGGAGCAACGCCGCGUGAGUGAUGAAGGUCUUCGGAUCGUAAAACUCUGUUAUUAGGGAAGAACAAAUGUGUAAGUAACUAUGCACGUCUUGACGGUACCUAAUCAGAAAGCCACGGCUAACUACGUG
rnacentral:rRNA from 1 species